rnacentral:rRNA from 1 species
AUUGAACGCUGGCGGCAUGCCUUACACAUGCAAGUCGAACGGCAGCACGGGGGCAACCCUGGUGGCGAGUGGCGAACGGGUGAGUAAUGCAUCGGAACGUGCCCAGUAGUGGGGGAUAACCAGUCGAAAGACUGGCUAAUACCGCAUACGACCCAAGGGUGAAAGCGGGGGACCGUAAGGCCUCGCGCUAUUGGAGCGGCCGAUGUCUGAUUAGCUAGUUGGCGGGGUAAGAGCCCACCAAGGCGACGAUCAGUAGCUGGUCUGAGAGGACGACCAGCCAGACUGGGACUGGGACAGGGCCCAGACUCCUACGGGAGGCAGCGGUGGGGAAUUUUGGACAAUGGGCGCAAGCCUGAUCCAGCCAUGCCGCGUGCGGGAAGAAGGCCUUCGGGUUGUAAACCGCUUUUGGCAGGAACGAAACAGCGCAGGCCAAUACCUUGCGCUAAUGACGGUACCUGCAGAAUAAGCACCGGCUAACUACGUGCCAGCCGCCGCAGUAACAC